UGAGGAACAUGACCUUCGGCGGGGGAUAGCCGGCCCAACGGCCGGGUAAUACCGCGUACGACCACUUUGGGACAUCCCUCGGUGGUGAAAGCAGCAAUGCGCCGAUGGAGUGCCUCGCGGCCUAUCAGCUAGUUGGUGAGGUAACGGCUCACCAAGGCGACGACGGGUAGCUGGUCUGAGAGGAUGGCCAGCCACAUUGGGACUGAGACACGGCCCAGACCUCCGUACGGGAGGNAGCG
rnacentral:rRNA from 1 species